GGGCCGGUAGUUCAGCCCGGUUGGGACAGAUCCUCCGGUGAGAACGUCCGCCUUACACGCGGAAACCAUGUCGAGGCCGCACGGUCGGGAGUUCAAAUCUCCCCCGGCCCA
rnacentral:tRNA from 1 species